UACGUAGGCAGCGAGCGUUUGUUCGGAGUUACUGGGCGUAAAGGGUGUGUAGGCGGUUUUCUAAGUUUGGUGUGAAAUCUCCCGGCUUAACCGGGAGGGUGCGCCGAAAACUGGGAGACUAGAGUGCGGGAUGGGAGAGUAGAAUUCCUGGUGUAGCGGUGAAAUGCGUAGAUAUCAGGAGGAACACCGGUGGCGAAGGCGGGUCUCUGGGCAGUAACUGACGCUGAGGAGCGAAAGCGUGGGGAGCGAACAGG
rnacentral:rRNA from 1 species